UUUGGUCCACCCACCCCCAAUUUUGUUUUAAAAAAUUGAAUUUUCAUCCAAUACGUGUACAUUAUACAUGCAUUUGACAUAAAUUCAUAUUCAAGUAAAAAUCUAUAAUGCAACACAGUGUGACAAGAUGAUGGCUGGAAUUGCAAUAAAUGAUCUUGAUCGAUCGCGCACGCAACAGCAUGCCAUGUCCAAUCCGCUCAAAAAUGGAUCUCCCGAGGUACCGCUACGCCUACAGUCAAUUACAGCGUGUCCACGCACAUGCAUAUGUAUUUCUAUCGAAAUGGAGACGUAGACCUAGCUCUAGCCAACAGAUUUGGAUGCAGUUUGCUGCUGUCUGGUUAGUCUUUGAUUCAAGGAGGAGUACUAUCACCUCUUGGCUGAGAAGAUCUACAAGAUCCAGAAGGAGCUGCAGCAGAAACGACAGAAGAGGAUGCAGGAGGUACUGAUGCUGCCGCUGGAGGCAUCCCCAUUAAUGCAGCAGCGCUGCUGCCCCAGCCUCAACCUCCCCACUAACUGCCCAGACCAGUAUGUCCACUGGGAAAAUGUAGCUUGUUCAACCGACGUAUAUCAGAAUUAUGCUGUACAGAACUACAUGUAUAUGGUUUUGAAGGGUUAUUGUGGUGUCAGUGUUGCUUUGGCUCAGCAAUGAAAGGUGGACUAGUAGAAUGGGGCAUCAUUUUGGCAUAGUGACACUCUUGUCACCUUCCACUUCCGUGAAUCCAGCCCAGGUUAUCAUGUGGAUUUUUCAGUCUUUACUUAACUUUGUGGGUUUUUCUCUGUAAUGUUCAUGUGGAGUUUUUCCCUUCACUUCUAAAACUGAACACUAUCCUCAUAUAUUUGCAGUUGUAAUUUGAAGUUGUAGAUCGUCACAUUUCUCAAGUGGUUACUGGCAGCCCUUUGAAAAACAUCCUGGAGAUUAUAUUGAUACUAUCAAUAAAUAAAGUGGGAGUUUUUAUUGUUAUUGUUGUUGAAAUUACACAGGGAAAUGGUAUUGUUUAUGGUAGCAGGGCCAGGUUUUCUUCAGUGUAUUUCUAAAUGUGGUCAUAAUACAGACUGAUCAUUUGUGGUUCACUCAAGGAAGCCUGUACACAGGUUAACAUAAAUUUGGUGUGUGAUUUUUACUUACAGUUUUAUUUCAAUUCCAAGCAUCUGUAACUUUUUAAGUUAUCACUGAAUAGUCAAGACCUUUUCUUUAUUUGUAGUUUUCUGAAGGCUUUUAUUUUACUUCAUAUUUGAAGAGUGAUGUCACCCAUAGAUCAUUGUGCAAUUUUUAUGACUGCAGAUGAAUUGACUCAGAGUGUGUACAAAAUGCAGGUGUAAAACAAAAAUUGUACGAAGUAAACAACAAAUAAAAGUGUAAUGCAAAUGAAGAUGUCAGUUGUACUCAUAGUCAGUAAAUGUAACUAACUCAAGCUUAAAAUUGUAUUUCUAAUGGGAGCUUCACUCAUUAGGUGCUUCUGGAAAAUGUGUAUCUCUUUUUUCCGCACGCAACUGUUCUUGCUUAUUGUCUUGAUCAGGACUUGAACAAAGCUUUUGCCACAAAUAAAUUACAUUGCUAAUUUGAUAGACAAACUAACAGAUAUUUACAUGUAUGUAGAUAGGGUCUGCUGCUUG
rnacentral:lncRNA from 1 species